AUACUACUCCCUCCGUCCGAAAAUACUUUUUCUAGAAAUAGAUGUAUCGAGACUUAUUUUAGUUAUAGAUACAUCAAUUUUAUACAUUUCUAGGACAAGUAUUUCCGGACGGAGGUAGUAUUUG
rfam:Hordeum vulgare subsp. vulgare, WGS project CAJW01000000 data, contig: morex_contig_1575276